rnacentral:rRNA from 1 species
UACGUAGGGUGCGAGCGUUAAUCGGAAUUACUGGGCGUAAAGCGUGCGCAGGCGGUUCGUUGUGUCGGUGGUGAAAGCCCCGGGCUCAACCUGGGAAUGGCCAUGGAAACUGGCGAACUGGAGUGUGGCAGAGGGGGGUGGAAUUCCGCGUGUAGCAGUGAAAUGCGUAGAGAUGCGGAGGAACACCGAUGGCGAAGGCAGCCCGCUGGGCUAGCACUGACGCUGAGGCACGAAAGCGUGGGGAGCAAACAGG